AUGCACGCUGGCGGCGUGCCUAAUACAUGCCAGUCGAGCGAACAGACGAGGAGCUUGCUCCUCUGACGUUAGCGGCGGACGGGUGAGUAACACGUGGAUAACCUACCUAUAAGACUGGGAUAACUUCGGGAAACCGGAGCUAAUACCGGAUAAUAUAUUGAACCGCAUGGUUCAAUAGUGAAAGACGGUUUUGCUGUCACUUAUAGAUGGAUCCGCGCCGCAUUAGCUAGUUGGUAAGGUAACGGCUUACCAAGGCAACGAUGCGUAGCCGACCUGAGAGGGUGGUCGGCCACACUGGAACUGAGACACGGUCCAGACUCCUACGGGAGGCAGCAGUAGGGAAUCUUCCGCAAUGGGCGAAAGCCUGACGGAGCAACGCCGCGUGAGUGAUGAAGGUCUUCGGAUCGUAAAACUCUGUUAUUAGGGAAGAACAAAUGUGUAAGUAACUAUGCACGUCUUGACGGUACCUAAUCAGAAAGCCACGGCUAACUACGUG
rnacentral:rRNA from 1 species